AAUAUAUAGGAGGGGAAAAAGACAUAUAUAUAUAUAAAUAAAAUUCCUGAUAGUAAUUUCAUCUACCACACAUCUGGUAAGGCCUUUAAUAAGUGUUUAUUGAAUGUGGGCCGGCACCAUGGUGACUCAGGGUGUUACACUCUUCAGACUUCCUAAAAAACCUCUGAGCACUAAUCAUCUUAUUACAAUCACAGCCACAGCUAACUGGGCUUUAGCUCCUGCUGGGUCCGCAGGGCAAUGUCAUGUAUAGCAAAGUUGGGUGAAAGCUAUAAUUUAAGAUCUUAUUUGUUCAUUCCAAUCAAUGAUAAUGCUGUUGUGUACUCUAGAAUCACACAAAUUCAGACUCUGAAUUCCUUUCUUCGACUCCUACUACCCACCAUCAAAAUGACACAUUAUCUGCUUUAAACCCUCUGAAGGUGCAGAAGAAAUUCUGCAGGGUACUGAAGAGAGUUUCCUCAUUCCUAUACAAGAAUUGGUCCAGAAGUCAGCUGAGCAUCUAUUAGGGCAAGGAGGCCAAAGUUCAAAUCACAGUACAGGAAGACAACUGAGAGAGUCAGGGGAUUCAGAACUGCUGCAAGCAGGGUUGAGGGGAUGUUUAACUUGGAGAGGACCUUCGCAGGAGCAGAAAAUAACAUGAUCUGUAUGGCCUGAGAGAGACCAAACUAGUUGCAAUGAACACCCCAAGGGCCCAGACUGUGGUUGCUAAAUAUCAUUUCCAAAUAAAAAUAACUAUGGCUUGUUGGAAAAAUGGCUGAUUCUAGGUCUGGGACUAGAAAGAUGAGCCUGGAUGUCUCACCAUACCAGAAAGCAAGGAAGCUGGUAAGAUUAUUAGGGUUGUUUGAAAAGAACUCAGGAGGCACUUUGACUCCCAGUGACCAAAGACAGACUAAGGCAACAUCAAUAAGGAGAACUGCAAUAGAAUGAAAAAAAUGUUUACAAUCAUGGGUUCAUGGUUUAAUGGAUCUAGGCAAAAUCACCAAUGGCUGCCAAGAUGAUCAAAAAAAAAAAAAAAAAAAAAGAACUGCAAUCUGAUAGAGCCUCUAGAACAAUGGGUCUCAAAUUUUAGCAUGCGCCAGAAUCACCUGGAAGGCUUCUUAAAAGAUCUAGGGCUGGGGUUGGCCUAGUGGCAUAGUGGUUAAGUUUGAGCACUCAGCUUCAGUGGCCCAGGGUUCGCAGGUUUGGAUCCUGGGCAUGGACCUACACACUACUCGUCAAGCCACACUAUGGUGGUGUCCCAAAUACAAAACAGAAGAAGGCUGGCACAGAUGUUAGCUCAGGGCCAUUUUCCUCACCAAUAAACAAACACACACACACCUAUGGCUGGGCUCCACUUACUGUUUCUGACUCAGUGAGUCUGGGAUGGGAUUUGAGAAAAUGCACUUCUAACAAGGUCCCAUGAGAUGCUGAUGCUAUUGGCCCAGGAGCCACACUUUGAGAACCAUUGCUCUACAUCUAUCAAUUUACAGGAAAUGCAGGGGACAGAACACCACACUAAAUGACACCAUGAGAAUGCAAUCAGCAAAAUCAAGACUAGGCAACUACUCAACAGUUAACCUCAACAAAUACAUCACAACGGAAAAAAAAGGAGACUCUAUAGAUUAAGGACACAACAUGUUUUUCAGAGGUAUACAUUGAAAUAUCUUGAGCUGAAAUGUCUAGAAUUUCUUUCAUAGUUAUCUGGAAAACAAAGUGGAUAGGCACAUAGACAUUGUUAAAGCUGGAUGAGUACAUGGGUGGUUCACCAUACUAUUCUCUAGCUAGUGUUUGAAAUUUAGCAUAAUAAAACAGCAAUGUAUUUAAAUAGUACACUCAAGGCUGGUCACGAAUGAUGAGAAACUAAGAGUAGUAGAUAUUACUCUAAUAGCUGGGCACCAUAUUCAGCAAUUCUGCUUUGCCUUCCUUUUUCUCAAUUGGCCAGAAGAAUAUUACGGUUUGACUAUUCUACUUAGAGAAUGUUUUAAUAAAGGCAGCUACUAUAACAAGUGAUGUGCCAAGCGCUUUGUUAAUAGCAUUUACUCCCCACAACAAUAUCACAAGGCACUAUUUUAUAGACGAGGACAUAGCUUACUUUCUAUUGCAUAUUCCUCUCAUCUACGUAAAAGUUGCUUCUCACUUCCUCUUUAGCCCCGGGGUAGGGGAAUCGCCCUACUUUCAGUGGUAAUGGUGUACAGUCUGACUGCCAUCAAAGCUCUCCCUCAGCAGCUUUCUCAAACUCCAAAAUGGCCAGCUCCCUCCCCUCCUAAAAACAAAACCCUUUCUUUUGACCUUACCUUUACAACAGUCUACCCUCCCACAGAAAGCACUUCCUUACAGUAGAAUACCACUGAAUAGAAGUGAGAAAAUCAACAAUAAAUGUUAACAGUGGGUGAUGGUUUAAUAAAGAACUGGGUAUUUAACAGACUCUAGUUAUCCCCCAAAUUACUGAUUACAAAGGGAAAAAGUGACUUUAUUGUGAUCCAGAUUACUAUUACAACGUGCCACUAGAAAUGAUGCAUCGAGGAGAGUCUCAUUCUUGUGAUAUUACCGCCAAAAAUGCCAGCAUGAGGAGAUAUCAAACACAAAUUGAGGGAAAUCCUAUAAAAUACCUGUCCUUUGCUAUUUGAAAAUGACAUGGUCAAGAAAAAGGCUGAGGACCUGCUCCAGAUCAAAGAUCAAAGAGCAAUGACAACAAAAUGCAGCAACUGAUCCUGGAUGAAUGGAAAAAUAAAGAACAUGAUAGGACAACUGAUGAAAUGUAGAUUUUUCUUGUUUUAGUUGUAGGUCCUUUCUAGUUGUGGCAUGUGGUGAUCCACAUAGCAUAACCAGAGGCACUCGCAACUAGAAUAGACAACUAUGUACUGGGGGGAU
ensembl:lncRNA